AAACCGCUUAUUCCCCCCUUCCCUUUCUCUCUCUUCCUCCUCCUUUCCUUGAGAGCUCCCAGGUUUCUCAUGGCUCCCCUCUCCUCUUCCUCCGGCGGUGCUGUUGCCUGAAGUGGGGAUGAGUGGGCAGUUCGGGCUGCUCAUCAAGAUGCCAUUGGGUGUUCAGCCAUGGUUGCUGGCGAGCAGCGCCUGGUGGUUGUCGGCGUCUCCAUCCCCAGUUCCUUCAUCGUGAAGGCAAGGAUAUGGUGGCACACUUGGUGGCAGCCCAUACCUGAAUAAGCUCGUGGUAGCGACGAGCAUGUAGAUGGUCAGUUCUUCUUCCUAGUUCCUGCUCGUGGAGGUAGCGGUGAGAAGCGUGGGGGAAGAUCUAGCGGUUACAUUUGUUCGCGUUGCCUCUCCUCGUUGGAUCCUAGGUUUCCACGAGGUUGGAGUCGCUCGCUGAUCAAGAUAACGGAAUCUUUGUCUUCGGUUGUGGUGUACGUGCUCAAGAUGGAAGACCAAGCAACCAAGACCUGGAGAUGAUGCAUGGGUCCUGAGCUUCACCGACAGGGGAUAUGGAAGGGGAACAACGCCUAUAGGCUGUCGGCCUUCUCCAACGAACUGCCUUACAUUUUGGUCUAAUGCCGACCAUGUUUCUUCCUCCCGACCAUGUCGCCAAAGGCGAGGCAGUGUAGUUCCAGAGUGGAGUGUGUGGCAUGUUGUGGUGGAGGUCUCGCCGAACCAAGUGAUCCUAUCCCCGGCGUCGACGGGAUUGUUCUACCUGGGAGCAGCUUGGACCGGAUUGUGUUUCUUAUUUCCAUGUUGGGGUCCUCUUUGUACGUUUUAGAGACAUGUGUGUACCUUUUAGUUUUCUUGGGGUCGUUCUGUAAGAUGCACUGUCACGCUGCUUUGACUUCAUGCGGUGUUGGGUCCUUCUGGACCCUUCUCUUGUUAAAAAAAAUAUUAGUCGGUGCAGCUAUAGCAGAUUCAUGUAAAAAAAGGUGCACCUAUCAUCUUGUAAUUAUUUGUCUCUGUGAACAUUGAACACGUGGCAACACCGAACAAUAAGCAGUCGAA